AUCAUUACCAAUUUAGGUGUCCUAGGGCUAUGGCCUCCCCGCCAGAACCCCUGGUUCACCCCCGAUAACUCGGGUACCCUUGCAUCUUGAGUACCACAUUUUAGCUUCCUGGGCAGGUACGCUUGCCCAUGGAAUCCUUCUCAAAACCUUCUGUAAUGUUGUAGUAUCAGUCAUUAUUAAAAUCGUAUAACAACUUUCAACAAUGGAUCUCUUGGCUCUGGCAUCGAUGAAGAACGCAGCAAAAUGCGAUAAGUAGUGUGAAUUGCAGAAUUCCGUGAAUCAUCGAAUCUUUGAACGCACAUUGCGCCCCUAGGUAUUCCUUGGGGCAUGCCUGUUCGAGCGUCAUUUACACCCUCAAGCUUUGCUUGGUGUUGGGCGUCUGUCCCCCCGGACUCGCCUCAAAGCAAUUGGCAAGCCACUAUCCCGGCCCGGAGAUGCAGCAGAAUUGCGCUCCUGGUCGCUGUGUGAUAUGGCAUCCAUGAAGCAAACAACUACUAGUUUGACCUCGAAUCAGGUAGGGAUACCCGCUGAACUUAAGCAUAUCAAUAAGCGGAGGAAAAGAAACCAACAGGGAUUGCCCUAGUAACGGCGAGUGAAGCGGCAAUAGCUCAAAUUUGAAAUCUGGCUCUCUUCAGGGUCCGAGUUGUAAUUUGCAGAGGGUGCUUUGGUGUUGGCUGUGGUCCAAGUUCCCUGGAACAGGACGUCGCAGAGGGUGAGAACCCCGUAUGUGGCCGCCAGCCUUCGCCGUGUAAAGCCCCUUCGACGAGUCGAGUUGUUUGGGAAUGCAGCUCUAAAUGGGAGGUAAAUUCCUUCUAAAGCUAAAUACUGGCCAGAGACCGAUAGCGCACAAGUAGAGUGAUCGAAAGAUGAAAAGCACUUUGGAAAGAGAGUGAAACAGCACGUGAAAUUGUUGAAAGGGAAGCGCUUGCAGCCAGACGUGCCCGCAGUUGCUCACCUGGGGUUUUCCCCAGGGCACUCUUCUGCGGGCAGGCCAGCAUCAGUUUGGGCGGUUGGACAAAAGCCUGCUAAACGUACCUCCCUCCGGGGAGGACUUAUAGGGUAGGUGGCAUACAACCAGCCUAGACUGAGGACCGCG
rnacentral:rRNA from 1 species